rfam:Felis catus isolate Cinnamon breed Abyssinian chromosome B2, whole genome shotgun sequence.
GCCUGGGUGGCUCAGUCGGUUGAGCGUCUGACUUCAGCUCAGGUCAUGAUCUCACGAUUCGUAAGUUCGAGCCCCGUGUCAGGCU